rnacentral:tRNA from 1 species
GCGCCCGUAGCUCAGUUGGACAGAGCGAUGGAUUCCGGAUCCGUAGGCCGGGGGUUCAAGUCCUCCCGGACGUA